rnacentral:lncRNA from 1 species
UUGAGUUGCUAGUAAUAACUUUCAAUUAUUCAGUUAAUCAUGUUUCCUCUAUAUAUGUGACUCAGCUUUUCAGGUGUAUUCCACAUUGUCUCUACUAGUGAACUAGGAUAAUCCAUUGUGUAUCUCACCCUCCUUCACUACCCUGUGAAAGUCACAUGUGAGAAGAAGCAUCACAGAUGAUUCCAUGGGGAACAUCCCGGAAGUUCUCCAAAUGGUAGAAGCAGUGAAAAAACCAAGAAGAAAUAGAGAGACAGAGAUCCAGAGAUAGUUAUUUUGGGCUUUUGGCUCAAUUCUGAGUAAACAGUGCACACCCAUGUGGGAG